rnacentral:rRNA from 1 species
GAAGCCCUUCGGGGCGCAUAGACAGGUGGUGCAUGGUUGUCGUCAGCUCGUGUCGUGAGAUGUUGGGUUAAGUCCCGCAACGAGCGCAACCCUUACGAUUAGUUGCUACGCAAGAGCACUCUAAUAGGACUGCCGUUGACAAAACGGAGGAAGGUGGGGAUGACGUCAAAUCAUCAUGCCCCUUAUGACCUGGGCUACACACGUAAUACAAUGGCGUUAAACAGAGGGAAGCGAAACCGCGAGGUGGAGCGAAUCCUCAAAAGGCGUCUCAGUUCAGAUUGCAGGCUGCAACUCGCCUGCAUGAAGUCGGAAUUGCUAGUAAUCGCGGAUCAGCAUGCCGCGGUGAAUACGUUCCCGGGCCUUGUACACACCGCCCGUCACACCAUGGGAGUCGGUAACACCCGAAGUCAGUAGCCUAACCGCAAGGAGGGCGCUGCCGAAGGUGGGAUUGAUGACUGGGGUGAAGUCGUAACAAGGUAGCCGUAUCGGAAGGUGCGGCUGGAUCACCUCCUUUAUG